GGGGAGGUAGAAAGGCGCUCUUGGCUCCGAUAUUGGUCAGCAGGACUCUGACGUCCAGGUGCCUGUGGACGUCGGCGCCAGCGUAGAGGUUUCGCGAGCGCCGCCGCGGAGGCUCACCUGGAUGCGACCCGGAAAUACUAGUUCAGCAGCUCCGUGUCCGAGCUACGGAACGGCAAAAAGGCCAAAGUGUCUGCUCUGUUCGGGAUCUCGCGAGACUUUAGAUGGGAGUCACAGGGUGGCACUGAAGUCAGGACUCGGAGUCCCCGCAGCCCUCCUGGCGCCCUCCCAGUCUGAGGAUCCUCCUGUGGAAGAACCACUCUGUCCGAGUCCCCAUUUCACAGCUGGGGAAAUUGAAACCCUGUGUUCCAGGAACAUUAUAAGGAAGGUCUUGUGGCUCCGGAGCUCUCCACACCACCCAGAACCAGUUUGAGAGAGAGAGGAGGAGAGCUCUGCCUGGCAGCUCAGUAGGGUUGCCAGAGGAUGGAGAAAAGGGGAGGAGCGAGGAAGACCUAGUGCAAAGGGUUUACUGUGAGGCUAAUGGGGCCCGAAAGGUUGGAACUGGUAGCCUCCAUGGGGGGAGGGAGCUAGGAUGCCAUCAGGAGAUAUUUCAGAUAAAGUGUCCAUAAAGAUCUCAAAAGGGAGGGAAACCAAUUUCCAAGAUUCCAGUAAUGUGCUAUGGUUUAUUUUCCCAAACUAAACAAUGCUUGUUUUCAUAA